UAGGGAAUCUUCGGCAAUGGACGAAAGUCUGACCGAGCAACGACGCGUGAGUGAAGAAGGUUUUCGGAUCGUAAAACUCUGUUGUUAGAGAAGAACAAGGACGUUAGUAACUGAACGUCCCCUGACGGUAUCUAACCAGAAAGCCACGGCUAACUACGUGCCAGCAGCCGCGGUAAUACGUAGGUGGCAAGCGUUGUCCGGAUUUAUUGGGCGUAAAGCGAGCGCAGGCGGUUUCGUAAGUCUGAUGUGAAAGCCCCCGGCUCAACCGGGGAGGGUCAUUGGAAACUGGGAGACUUGAGGGCAGAAGAGGAGAGUGGAAUUCCGUGUGUAGCGGUGAAAUGCGUAGAUAUAUGGAGGAAAACCAGUGGCGAAGGCGGCUCUCUGGUCUGUAACUGACGCUGAGGAUCGAAAGCGUGGGGAGCAAACAGG
rnacentral:rRNA from 1 species